rnacentral:antisense_RNA from 1 species
ACAACGCUCUUGCGUCAUUGGCAUACAAAUCAAACCACGACCAUGAGUUGCCAUAAAAUUAAUCGCUUGAGGCGUAACCAUUUCAGCUGCCAUGAUG